UACCCGCCGAAUUUAAGCAUAUAAU
rnacentral:rRNA from 1 species